AGCAGCCGCGGUAAUUCCAGCUCCAAUAGCGUAUAUUAAAGUUGUUGCAGUUAAAAAGCUUGUAGUUGAAUUUCGGGAUCAAUUUAUCGGUCGUGCCAAUGGUAUGAACUGGUACAAUUGGUUUCUCCCUUCUGACGAAGCAUGAUGUCAUUAAUUUGGUGUCGUGGGGAAUCAGGACUGUUACUUUGAAAAAAUUAGAGUGUUUAGAGCAAGCAUUAGCUUGAAUACAUUAGCAUGGAAUAAUGAAAUAGGACGUUUGAUCCUAUUUCGUUGGUUUCUAGGAUCGACGUAAUGAUUAAUAGGGAUAGUUGGGGGCAUUAGUAUUCAAUUGUCAGAGGUGAAAUUCUUGGAUUUAUUGAAGACUAACUACCGCGAAAGCAUUUGCCAAGGAUGUUUUCAUUAAUCAAGAACGAAAGUUAGGGGAUCGAAGACGAUCAGAUACCGUCGUAGUCUUAACCAUAAACUAUGCCGACUAGGGAUCGGAUGAUGUUAAUUUUUUAAUGACUCA
rnacentral:rRNA from 1 species